rnacentral:rRNA from 1 species
CCUACGGGAGGCAGCAGUAGGGAAUAUUGCUCAAUGGGGGAAACCCUGAAGCAGCAACGCCGCGUGGAGGAUGAAGGUUUUCGGAUUGUAAACUCCUUUUGUUAGAGAAGAUUAGGACGGUAUCUAAAGAAUAAUCACCGGCUAACUCCGUGCCAGCAGCCGCGGUAAUACGGAGGGCGCGAGCGUUACUCGGAAGCACUGGGCGUAAAGAGUGCGUAGGCGGGGUAUUAAGUCAGAUGUGAAAUCCUGUAGCUUAACUACAGAACUGCAUUUGAGACUGUUACUCGGGAGUGUGGAAGAGGUAGGUGGAAUUCGUGGUGUAGGGGUGAAAUGCGUAGAGAUCAAGAGGAAUACUGGUGGCGAAGGCGACCUGCUGGAAGAUUACUGACGCUGAGGUACGAAAGCGUGGGGAGCAAACAGGAUUAGAUACCCGGGUAGUC